AUAGAGGAGACAUAUGAGAGCUCC
rnacentral:siRNA from 1 species